rnacentral:rRNA from 1 species
GUGGGGAAUCUUGCGCAAUGGGCGAAAGCCUGACGCAGCCAUGCCGCGUGAAUGAUGAAGGUCUUAGGAUUGUAAAAUUCUUUCACCGGGGACGAUAAUGACGGUACCCGGAGAAGAAGCUCCGGCUAACUUCGUGCCAGCAGCCGCGGUAAUACGAAGGGGGCUAGCGUUGCUCGGAAUUACUGGGCGUAAAGGGCGCGUAGGCGGACAGCUUAGUCAGAGGUGAAAGCCCAGGGCUCAACCUUGGAAUUGCCUUUGAUACUGGCUGUCUUGAGUUUGGGAGGGGUGAGUGGAACUCCGAGUGUAGAGGGGAAAUUCGUAGAUAUUCGGAAGAACACCAGUGGCGAAGGCGACUCACUGGCCCAAUACUGACGCUGAGGCGCGAAAGCGUGGGGAGCAAACAGGAUUAGAAACCCCUGUAGUCC